AGUGAACGCUGGCGGUAGGCCUAACACAUGCAAGUCGAACGGCAGCACAGUAAGAGCUUGCUCUUACGGUUGGCGAGUGGCGGACGGGUGAGGAAUACAUCGGAAUCUACUUUUUCGGGGGGGAUAACGUAGGAAAACUUACGCUAAUACCGCAUACGCCCUACGGGUGAAAGCAGGGGAUCUUCGGACCUUGCGCGAUUGAAUGAGCCGAUGUCGGAUUAGCUAGUUGGCGGGGUAAAGGCCCGCCAAGGCGACGAUCCGUAGCUGGUCUGAGAGGAUGAUCAGCCACACUGGAACUGAGACACGGUCCAGACUCCUACGGGAGGCAGCAGUGGGGAAUAUUGGACAAUGGGCGCAAGCCUGAUCCAGCCAUACCGCGUGGGUGAAGAAGGCCUUCGGGUUGUAAAGCCCUUUUGUUGGGAAAGAAAAGCAGCAGGUUAAUACCCCGCUGUUCUGACGGUACCCAAAGAAUAAGCACCGGCUAACUUCGUG
rnacentral:rRNA from 1 species